rnacentral:rRNA from 1 species
UACAGAGGGUGCAAGCGUUGUUCGGAAUUAUUGGGCGUAAAGGGCGCGUAGGCGGUGCCACAAGUCACCUGUGAAAUCUCCGGGCUUAACUCGGAGCCUGCAGGCGAAACUGUGGUGCUGGAGUGUGGGAGAGGUGCGUGGAAUUCCCGGUGUAGCGGUGAAAUGCGUAGAGAUCGGGAGGAACACCAGUGGCGAAGGCGGCUACCUGGACCAGCACUGACACUGAGGCACGAAGGCCAGGGGAGCAAACGGG